CUCGCUCCUACACAAGGAGACUCCCACAUGAGCGGCGGCUUGGGUUUGCCCAAACCCUAGCCGCCCUCUUCCUAUCUCUCUCUCCUCUGACUCGCCAUAAAAAGCAUGUGCAGAUCUGCGGAGGCGGUGGCAUGCGGCCAUGGAGACUCGGCGGUAGGCACGACGGUGCUCGCGUGGUCGGAGCUGCAAACCGGAGGCGCUGAUGUGAACCGAGGGUACGACCGGGAAGCUUCUUCUUUCCCUCAGGUCCAGCUUCUUUCCCUUCUCCUUCCCUCAGGUUCCCUUGGUGUGGCAUGUUGAGGGAGGUCUUCUGCAUGGAUCUCGGCGAUGGCGGUUUAGACCCACAACUUGCUCCACAAGAUCCAGGUGCCCGACGAUGAGGAUGAGGAGCAGCGACUUGCUCCACUUGAUCCAGGUGCCUGGGAAUGAGGAUGAGAAACAAUGUCGUGGCAUACGGUAGAAAUCUCCAUGGAUGGUGGCUUUCUACCGUAACUUCCCCUUCGUUGCCCCUCAAAUCGAUAGUCGAUUUUUACCUUCUCUACAUCUACACCCCUAACUUUUACCUUCUCUACGUUUACGGGUAAUAUUGAAAAUUUUUAGAAACUAAACCAAGCCUUUUUAGAGGGGAGGUGUGCCUAUAAAAACAAGUUGGAUUAUUUCCGUAAAUCCUUUUUAUGUACUAUGUAGCGUGUCAUCAUCACCACUAGCGAAAUCGUAUAUAGAACGAUAAAUAUGUAAGAGGUACACUAGCUGGGGGGACUGUGAGUAAGAGCACGUAUAAUAAUGGGCUUAUAGCCAAACUAAUGCUGAUGUGGAGGAGAGAAGAGAGGAGAGAGAUGAUAGCUUAGCACUUAUAUAAGCACCAAGCUGGGCACAGAUGCAUAGGUAGUGGUGGGUCCAAAUAGCAAGUGUUGUGAAAAGGAAUAGGAAAGAGAAGAUAUUUUAGAGACAAGUAUGAGAUAACUUAUUGUAUAACUUGGCUCUAAUCACUUGGCUUAUAGCCAAGCACUUGGCUCUAUUAGGGCACUCACAAUGCAGACUCUAUCAUAGAGUCUAAAGUUAUUUAUUGACUCGAACAAUAUGGACUUAGAGUUUAAAUAAGACUUGAAGUCUUAUUUUUUCUAUCUCAAUUAAUUAUAUAUUAUUUAUGGUAUUUUGCUGAUGUGGCAGCAUAUUUAUUGAAGAAAGAGGUAGAAAAAAUAAGACUCUAAAUCUUAUUUAGACUCUAAGUCUACGUCUACGUCCACAUUGUUCGAGGUAAUAAAUAACUUUAGACUCUACGAUAGAGUCUGCAUUGUGAGUGCCCUUAUUGAUCUUGCUCUAGGUAACAUGCAAAUAAACAGUGGCAGAAGUUAAUCGAUCGACUUGGAACUUAGUACUAAUUAAUCAUUGCACUGAAUUUUGCAUAAAAAAUUACUAUAUCUAGUUGGUUGACUAGAAUGCCCACGAGUUCUCCCUGUAAACCUCCACCUCCUCUUCCACAGUGUAGUCGUUGACGAUGCCAAACGUCUCGCGGAUCUGGUCGAUUGUCCUUCCCUUCAACUUAUCCGCCACCGCCUUGCACGUCAGGUCGAACAGCUUCUUGAUGUGGAGGUACUCGGCCGCAUGUACCAGGUCGAUAAGGGUGUCGUUGUCGACGUCGACGAAGUCGUCAUCGAAGCGGGCGAGGGGGUGCUCGUCGCCGGGUGCGCAGAAGAUGUAGUCGUCGGGCCGGCCGACGACGGCGGCGGCGUCGAAGUGCUUAUUGACGUAGUGGAGAACGCGGGAGAGCGUGGCGGCGGUGACGUUCGGGAUCGCGAGCGUGGUGGUGGCGGCGGUGUCCGCGCGGGACGGCGACUCCUCGUCGAUCAUGCCCUUGAUCGUCACCGAGGCGGCGCUGAUGACCUCCUCCGACACCUCGAAGGCCUCGCCGUCCGAGCUGCGGAGGAAGACCACCUUCUUCUCCGACGCCAUUUAUUCUGAUCGACAAUGCUAUGCCGGGGACUAUAGGUUUAGCCGGCGUUUCUUUCUUCUCUCUCUCAAUGUUAUAUAUAUAUGGGAUGAUCGAGAAAUUGAUGCGCGAUGCGUGGCUGCGCCGCUUCGAUAGACGGUAGGGUUUGCUCGCGAUUUAUACGAGACGCGAGGCGGAAAACUAGUCGGAUACGAUCUGCAUCUGGCGCGGCCACGGCCGCCGCGCCAUGGGCUAAAUCCGUGGACGUGGACGGGAUAAUAAAUUGUAGUAUUGUGUAAACCACGCCCAAUGAGGUCACUACAAUGGUCCACAUCAUAUACUCUGGGUAAAAAGAGAGAGAUUUGAAGCUAUAAAAAAGAGAGAUGUGUUUUUUUAUUUACAUAGGAUUUACUAUGCAUUUAGAAUUAAAGUUUAGAUAUACACUAUAUGUAGUUAUGUAAUAAACAUAAUUUGAAACGAAGUACUGGUUGAGCUGAUCUCAAUCUUUCUGAUUUACCAAUUUCUCACUCAUUUUCUUCCCUAAAAUUGCACAUUUGCACAUGUUAUCUGUCAGCUCUCACUGCCGUCCUCUCAUUCUCUGCUCCCUUUCAUUGGAUCCCUAUGACUAGAUCUAUUUCUACAAUGAAUUUGCAUAAAUAGAUUUUUUUUAGAGCGGAUGUUUAGCCCGUUUUUCAUUAAGAAGGAGAGUAACCAAAUGUUACAUAAAUAGAUGUUAUAUACUACGGCACUUCUACUGCCUUCUAACUAUUUUUUAAUGGCGGUUGAUCAUUGAUCUUUAACUGCAAGUGCCUCAUUGUUGCAAAUAAAUGGUCUCCAAAACUAUUCUAUUUCUAGAUAUAGAUUCAUAAUUGUCAUUAAAAACGUUUUUUGGACAAUCAAUAAUAUUAAUUGCCUAUAGGGACCUCGUAGCGCCACGCUAGCUAAGCUCAACCACGCCACCACCACCACGGUGCCCACAUAACCACCUGCCCUCAUCAGGGGCCAUCGUGCACAUCAGCGUCGGUGGCUAGAAGCCACCAUCACUCCUGUGCAGAGCAGAGAGAGAGAGAGAAGAGCAAAGGGGAUAGAACUAUAAAAGAGAUAGGGGGAAGAGAGAGAGAGAGAGAUUGUGUUGGGGGGUAAGAGAGAAAGGUAAGAGAGAGAUGUGAUGGCGUAAUAAAGUGAUGGACCCCAUAAUCAUUUUGUCUUUAAAUUAUGCUCUUAGGCUGACUAUUUUAGAUUGACUCAAGAAAUAGACCCUUAUUUUUAGAUAUGGCUAGUAUUUCCAUCCAUUCCUAAAAAUACGGCUAGCUAAGGUAUUCUCUCUAUUUUCAGAGGUGACUAUACUAGCAACCAUGUUGAAAAAAGAAAGCAAUGCACCUGAAAAUCUUUUUUUAGUAAUGCAUCCUAGCGUUGCCUCGUAAUUAAGCUAAACCUUCUUCUAAGCCUAGAACAAAGAGCCUCAAACCUAUAUAUCUAUAUCUAUAUCUAUAUCUAUAUCUAUAUCUAUAUCUAUAUCUUAAUGUAUAAGCUAUUUUAAUAUAUAACUUUCAACCUCUUAGUGCAAGCUAUCCAUGUCACCUAGACUAAGUGCAAUUACUAUUUUCAAUAUGUAAGAAAUAUACAAAGCAUCCAUAUGUUUCUGUUCGUUUAUGGCCUUGUUUAGUUCCCAGAAAAUUUUGCAAAAAUUUUCAGAUUCCCCAUCACAUCAAAUCUUUAGACGCAUGCAUGAAGUAUUAAAUAUAGACGAAAAUAAAAACUAAUUGCACAGUUUGGUCGGAAUCAACGAGAUGAAUCUUAUGAGUCUAGUUAGUACAUAUUUGGAUAAUAUUUGUCAAAUACAAACGAAAGUAGUACUAUUCCUAUUUUGUAAAAAAUUUUGGAACUAAACAAGGCCUAUUUGUUGUUCGAUCUGUCAUUUUACAGUUCAAUCUAAUACUAAUAUAGUUCUUUUAUUGGAUUCCUUUAUUGUCCUGCCGAUGCAAGAAUAUAUAAAUAUAACUCAUACAUAAGUCUCACAACAUCGCAUAGGGUUAUCCUUCUAGUUCCUCUAAAUCCUAACCUACACUACAUGUUGGACGAACUUCCUUUUGGCAAUAGGUGCAGCCGCAUCCACGAAAAUAUAAAAGAGAAUAAUUAUGAUCAAAUUUUUAAUAUAUAUAUAUAUACUCUAUAAUAAAAUCAUAUGUACCCACAAGUAUAACGCACUCCUCUUAAUUUUGCUCUAACUCUGACACUGUUUCUAGGCGACGAAGAACAUAGGUCAAGGUCUUUGCAUUAGAGAAGACAGUAGCCGGUUGGGUACGGAGUCGAUAAAUCUGAACACAUUAUUACGUUGGGAAACAUAUAUAGUACGGACAUGAUGUGUUAACAUUAAUUGCAUUCCGCAGCACCAUAUUGUUAAGCUAAGGUCUUGUUUAGUUCUAUUUUUUUUGCAAAAUAGACAUUGUAACAAUUUCAUUUGUAUUUGAUAAAUAUUAUCUAAUCAUAAACUAAAUAGACUUGUUUGAGUCUUGGUCCAAAUUGAGUACUAAAAGAUAUAAUACAUUGUUGUUAACAGCAGCAUCAGCCUUAUUGUGGGAUAUAUGGCUAACACGGAAUGAAAUAGUUUUUGACAAAGGCAAACCUAAAUCUCUUUUGCAGGUACUCUUCAGAGGAACUCACUGGCUACGCCAAUGGGCGAGCUUGCAGCGGCAUGAUGAUCUCAAAGAUCAUCUUAUCUCAGCAGCAGUCCACCUCGAGACAUCGGCUUUAGCUUUUUUUUAGUUCCAAUGGUUGGCUCGCACAUAGACAUGUUGGUUGCGUUUAGUCGAAAACUUUUUUCCAGUGAUUUUGUGGGGCUGCUUCUUAUACAGUCGAACUUACGGCACUUGGUCGGUGUAAUAAUUG
rnacentral:lncRNA from 1 species